rnacentral:rRNA from 1 species
AUUGAACGCUGGCGGCAGGCCUAACACAUGCAAGUCGAGCGAGCGGCGGACGGGUGAGUAAUGUAUGGGGAACUGCCCGAUAGAGGGGGAUAACUACUGGAAACGGUGGCUCAUACCGCAUACUAUCUGAUGAACCCAAAUGGGAUUAGCUUGUAGGUGGGGUAAAGGCUCACCUAGGCGACGAUCCCUAGCUGGUCUGAGAGGAUGACCAGCCAAACUUGGACUGAGACACGGUCCAGACUCCUACGGGAGGCAGCAGUGGGGAAUAUUGCACAAUGGGCGCAAGCCUGAUACAGCCAUGCCGCGUGUAUGAAGAAGGCCUUAGGGUUGUAAAGUACUUUCAGCGGGGAGGCGUUACCCGCAGAAGAAGCACCGGCUAACUCCGUGCCAGCAGCCGCGGUAAUUC